rnacentral:rRNA from 1 species
UACGUAGGGGGCAAGCGUUGUCCGGAUUUAUUGGGCGUAAAGAGCGUGUAGGCGGUUUGGUAGGUCCGUUGUGAAAACUCGAGGCUCAACCUCGAGCUGUCGGUGGAAACCGUGUAGCUAGAGUCCGGAAGAGGAGAGUGGAAUUCCCGGUGUAGCGGUGAAAUGCGCAGAUAUCGGGAAGAACACCCGUGGCGAAGGCGGCUCUCUGGGACGGUACUGACGCUGAGACGCGAAAGCGUGGGGAGCGAACAGG